AGUGAACGCUGGCGGUAGGCCUAACACAUGCAAGUCGAACGGCAGCACAGUAAGAGCUUGCUCUUACGGGUGGCGAGUGGCGGACGGGUGAGGAAUACAUCGGAAUCUACUUUUUCGUGGGGGAUAACGUAGGGAAACUUACGCUAAUACCGCAUACGACCUACGGGUGAAAGCAGGGGAUCUUCGGACCUUUCGCGAUUGAAUGAGCCGAUGUCGGAUUAGCUAGUUGGCGGGGUAAAGGCCCACCAAGGCGACGAUCCGUAGCUGGUCUGAGAGGAUGAUCAGCCACACUGGAACUGAGACACGGUCCGGACUCCUACGGGAGGCAGCAGUGGGGAAUAUUGGACAAUGGGCGCAAGCCUGAUCCAGCAAUACCGCGUGGGUGAAGAAGGCCUUCGGGUUGUAAAGCCCCUUUGUUGGGAAAGAAAAGCAGCAGGUUAAUACCCCGCUGUUCUGACGGUACCCAAAGAAUAAGCACCGGCUAACUUCGUG
rnacentral:rRNA from 1 species